UACGAAGGGAGCUAGCGUUGUUCGGAAUCACUGGGCGUAAAGCGCACGUAGGCGGAUUUGCCAGUCAGGGGUGAAAUCCCGGGGCUCAACCUCGGAACUGCCUUUGAUACAGCAAGUCUUGAGUUCGAGAGAGGUGGGUGGAAUUCCUAGUGUAGAGGUGAAAUUCGUAGAUAUUAGGAAGAACACCGAUGGCGAAGGCGGCCCACUGGCUCGACACUGACGCUGAGGUGCGAAAGCGUGGGGAGCAAACAGG
rnacentral:rRNA from 1 species